GCACCUUCUUUCCUCUCUACACUGCCCAGUGUCAGGUAUCCUGUUACAGUAACACAAAUGGAGCUGCUUCAGCUCUUCAGUGUUUCCAGGACUGGAGGAGAAGGGAAAUUUGGAAGGAGACGUGGAAAGACUUUCUGGUGACUCUAGGUUCCGUCAAGUUGAGAGCACACAGCAAGAAAUUGCCCACGAAAUCUCACAAAUACUGUUGUCUGAACAAGAUCACUACAAUGGCCCACCCAUUGGCAUGCCAACAUGGACCUGGUCCCAUGCCUAGAGGAAGAGUUACAUGCUGACAACGACUGUUAAGAAGGAAUCUGUUCGUCUUCUCAAGGAAUGAGUUCCUAGAGAGUCUUUCAUCCUUCCCUGUCCCCGACUUCACAUCAGGAGCUGAAAUGCAUGUUGCAGACCUGGCAGUCCUGACCUUACCUCAGAACAUGAACUUGCUGUCUCAGUUGUCUCUCUUCAGGAGAUCUGAUCCUUUCACCAACAAGUUGAACAUGACUCACAGGGAAGGGGGGGUGUUAGAAAAA
rnacentral:sRNA from 1 species